GUCCCUUCGGGGACAUCCGAUAAAAUUGGAACGAUACAGAGAAGAUUAGCAUGGCCCCUGCGCAAGGAUGACAAAAAAAAUUUGAGAUAAAAAUGAGAAUUUG